ensembl:lncRNA
CUUCAUUGAACACUUUGUGAACCCUGCUAAUCUGCGCACAGCAGGAGCUUUUCAGGGUUUGAAAGGGAACGGGACAUGGCUAGCCUUCCUGCCACUGGCGCCAGUGGAGACCAGUUCGACCAGUCUCCUCGUAUUGGCCUUCAUCACCAUUAUAGUUGCCCUUGUCUCUCUCUUACUGCUCUGCCACUUGCUGGUCUUCCACAUAUAUCUCUUAUCUAAAGGAAUGAGCACAUACGAGUAUAUUGUGAAGCAGCGUCAGCUACAGAGUGCCAGGGAGCAGAAAGCAGGAGGCACUCAGCUGUCUCCAUCUCCUGCUGUAGCCAAGGGCCUUGGUCAUUUGGACAUGCCUAUAGACUGUGAUGCUCCUCUAUCAAGCAGACCAAGUGUCUUCAAAUACCAAGACAGAGGAGAGAUUUCCAGUCAUCUGUCAGGACCCAUCUGUUCAGAGGUGAGGCGGUGGCUGUUCCUCCGGUGGGCUGGAGCCCGAGUCUGAGCCAGGUGCAGAGCCUGCAGGACUGCCAGCAGGGCACCGCUGCCAGGCAUCGCCAGGCUGAGGGAGUCCCUGUCGUCCAGGGCCCUUUGAGCACCUCCGACAUGGACACCACCACUGCCCGACAGCAGCUCAUCCACUGAGACGAGCGCGCAUGCAGCAUCCAAGAGCCGAAGAGGGUGCAGCCCCGCCAGCAGACUGCUCUUACCCACGGAUUGAACGGAUCCAGCUCCCCGAGUUCUUUGUGAGCACUGAAAUCUCGCAUCCAUUAGAUGAAGAAUGAAAGACUGAACUCUGCAGUAGAGUCAGUCUUCAGAAGGGUUGGAGUCCUCGGGUCUUAAUAAUAAUAAAUGGUGCCAUAGCUCACUAGGCCUUAAUUCUAGUAUUCAUAGCUUGAAUAACAACUUCUUUUGUUUUGUUUUUUUUGCUCAAUCCUUCAUCAAGGCCUUGGUCAUUAGCUGAGGGAAGAGAAACACUAAAUCGUAUGCAGUACACAAAUUGAUAACAGCUGACUUGACUCAGAGCGACGUCUCUUGGAGAGUUAAGAGUUAGAUCAUGGGUUAAGACUAAUGCUCAUCAUGCCGCUAUAUGUGCAGUAUACUUUAUGCAAAAUGAGGUUUUUGUCCUUGUAGAAGUUGAACCACCUCGCGAAUGAAGUUUGCAAGGUCCAUGUGGCCUUGGUUUUUUUAAAUAAGGCUUCUUGUAUAUGAGCGCCAACAUUAAUGGUCGGUCUCUACAUCUUAUGUUUGUAACUAUAAACGCACUGAGGUUUCAAUGAUUAACUGUGUGGCUGUUCAAGAUCAGUAAUUUGUAGGCUGUGCCAAUUUCUCAUUUGGAAAGGAGUCACUUGGCCAGCUGAAAAGCAAACUUGCUGAUCUUGUUGAACCACAGAACGAGACCUGGUUUCCCUUUAUAACUGUCAAACUAUAUCAACACUCAAAGUUGUCAACACUUUCAAACUUCACUGCAGUCAAAUGACAGAAACCUGUACCGAAAUGAGUCCCUUGGCUAGCUUCAUAAACAAUCUUACUGAGCUUGUUUACCACAGAACAAAACCUGGAUUCGCUUUACAAUUCAGCGCCUCACUCCCUUUAUAACUCGUGUUCUGUGAUGUAGACAGCUAGGAUCAAAGUAAAGGGAACUUAUAGAAAUGACAAGACACAACUGUCUAAAAUAACUGAAUGGAAAUAAUGUUAUAACGUGAAAUGUCAAUCGUGUGCUCCGUUGAAGUUUAUACUGAAGCUACCCUCUAGAGGGCAGUCAUGUCGUCACCAUAUUUGAUCUCAAAGCACGAUGAUUAUAGCUCAGGACCACAUAAUGGCAUUUAAUACCAGAGCCCAAACCUUGAUACAUUGAUACAUUUGGUCACAAUAGAAAAGGAAAGGGGCAUUUCCUUCUCCAUUGUGACAAAGUUCACGUUUUGGGCUCUGGUAUUAAAUGCCGUUAUCUGACAUUAACAUCAAAGUUCUCUGUGGACCCAUUUUUCCUCUCCUUUCGCGCUCUCUUCGUUGUGCUCGCCCACAUUGCCGCUCUUUUAAGCACAAAAUGACCGGCAGUGCCGAUGUUGUGGUGGGUGAGGUGCUUAUAUAGGCUAUGUAUCCACCAGCAGUCGUCUGCACACGGGACUUCUGAACUCUCCCCCACGUCCUGGAAAUGUUUGUUCCAGAUUACUAGCACACAUGUAUUCAUGAAUUGAUGUUUGCAUAUUUUGAUUUUAUUUUUUAAAAAGAACUGAUCAUUACAUUUGUUUUAAUAACAUUAUGGCAAAUUACUUGUACCUUUAUUUGAUAAUGAAUACCAAAUAAAGUAUAUUUUAAAAACCCAUGCUCUCAGACUGCAAUGUCUCUCUCUCUCGUUCUCUGUGUAUAUAUUUCAAAGAGUGCCUGUCUUCAAACUCUGACCCUGCCCACGUACAGUCCAGAACUGGAUGCGUACUAAUGCUUCCUAUGUGAUCAUUUCAUGAUUCACGAUAAUAUCGGCACAUACCUCUUUGCCAUGUGACAACAGUAUUACGUAAUCUCAGAAAAACUCAUCAGAGCUUGUAGGCUGCAAGUCUCAAAAGACUCGACGCAAUGGACGACAGAGGUUUAAUCUCAUCUCCGCUUUCACAAAAUAUUAUUGCAGCAAAGUUACAAAUUGCUGGGUCAAUUGACGAUUUUUAAAAAAAGUAUUUAAUAUUUAUCUGGGUAAAAUGAUCCACAACCCGGUCCAGCACCGUUUAUACCUCUGACAUGUAGGAUAAUACCACACUCGUCUAAGACGCGUCGCGGAACGCCUUCCCUCUAGAUUGACGGCGUCUCGACCAAUCAGAGGCCUUCAUGUCGGACCGCAUCCUCCAGGGCUGUC